GGUGCUCGAGUGGCGAACGGGUGAGUAACACGUGAGUAACCUGCCCUUAGACUUUGGGAUAACUUCAGGAAACUGGGGCUAAUACCGGAUAGGAGCUCCUGCUGCAUGGUGGGGGUUGGAAAGUUUCGGCGGUUGGGGAUGGACUCGCGGCUUAUCAGCUUGUUGGUGGGGUAGUGGCUUACCAAGGCUUUGACGGGUAGCCGGCCUGAGAGGGUGACCGGCCACAUUGGGACUGAGAUACGGCCCAG
rnacentral:rRNA from 1 species